AAAACAAAUCUUUAAGAUUAUUUAAAAUAUAAAGGAAUAGUAAAAAAUAAUACAACUAAUUUAUCUGUUUGUAGUCGGAAAUAAUGUCUUAGACAAUUCACAAAAAAAAACAUUUGCACAAAAAGUGAUAAAUGUGAUCACAUGAAAAUUUGAAACUCAAUCCAGUUUUCAAAAUUAGUUUUAUAAAAAUGAUUUACAUGUAUUAAAAACAAAUUAAGGGAAAUGGAAGUCAGGUAACACACUGAGUCUUUUGAAUAUUUAGUAACAAUCACAUAGAAUAAAUCUACUUUUUCUUUGUCCAGUAAAAGCACUGUGAAAUUCAUGAAUUUUUAAAAAUUUCUCAGAACACUAUUUCUCUAUAAAGUGUGUCUAAUGACAUCAAUCUCACUGAUUACUGUAAGAUUUAAAUGAGAGAAGAUUUAUAAGGUGACUGAUGUAUCUUAAUUCUCUCUCAUCCAGAUGGGUGCCAUGCAAAAUACUGUUUAGAGGUGUUAUAAUUUCUGGUUUUUUUUUUUUUUUUUUUUUUUUUACCUAAUAGCUUCUUGAACCAAGGACAUGUAUUUGCUGCUCUUUUAGUCAUGUCUACUCUUGAAGAGUCCUGGCUCCCAGUUAAGAAGCUGUGUGAUUUUUCCAGGCCUAACCAUAAGCAAUCACAAAGGCCUUACCUGACAAGCCUCAGGAGAAAAACUACCUCUCCAAACUAGCUAGUGCACAGCCACUACAUUGCAGUCUCCAGAGAGUGUGACAAUAAAAAUCUCAGGCCCGCUGAGACCAUCAAACUUCAAGGAGUCACACAACUUGAGCCUUGGCUCCCUUUUUACUGAGGACCCUUAGAUAGGCCUCUGAGAAAGAUCUAACUGCUGUUUUCUCCAAAAUAAUGCCCCCUGUCAGCAGUUAAGAGCGAUCAUCAUCUUCAUCCCUAAUGGCAGUUGGAUGUACCGUUUCAGAAGAGGAAUUUAUGGCAGCAGCAGCCCAUCUGCUUCAAAGACGCUGACUUCAGCAGGGAAGGCGUGGCCGGGGCUCUGCACUCCAGGGAGCCAGGGGGAGCGGGUAACAAGUGGGAGCCACACCCGCUUCUGAGUUAAAGGGGCGAGAGCCCCGCCCUCCAGGACGCAGCUGCAGCCAUCCAAGCUUGGCUGCGGACCCAGGCAUUCCUAUCAACUCAAGGGCCUGGGAAGCUCCUCUGACCCUGCAGGCUUGGAAGUACCUGCUCCCACUGCCUGGCCUCUCCCCACUCCCGGGGUCCUCUCUGAUUUCAGAGCAAAGUUAAAGUCAAGCCCAGGCUCUGUCGCAACCCCUCUAGGUGUGCUUGCACUCAGGACAGCACUGACACACCAGCUCCCUGCUACCUCUGCCCCUUUUGGACUUUGGGCACCAAGGAGCAUGGGAGGGAGGCCGAGGUGGGGAUAAGGGCAGCUUGGCAUGGGCCUGCAGUUGGCGCUUGGCAUGAACAGCCUGGGCACUGUAGGCAACGUAGCAGUAGGUUGAUGGCAGCAGGAGACAGCUCCUGGGCAGAAAGGGGCGGGUCCCCAGUGAAGCCCCACCUUCAAGGCUGGGCCAGUCUGAAGCCUGGGGACUGGGCUGUCAGUUCUGCAGACCGGAGUGAGAACUUAUGAUGGAUUUUCCGGCCCACCAAUAGCUGCCCGUGAACUACAGGACAACCUGCCUGCUACUCACUUUGUCCGUGUACCUCAUUCUUGGACGCAGAACAAGAAGGCGAGACCCCCCAAAUGGUGAGACAGGAAGAGUUGUAACACAGAGGGCUGAAACACGUCCCUCUCCCCACCUCUUGCCAUGUUGCAGGCGAUCAGAAGAGAGAAGUGAGUACCUUCACAUCAACUCUAGAUGAUCUAGUUGGCUUGGCCUUGGAUCUAAUUCUGUGUAAGUUUGAACUUCUGGAGAGAUGAAAGUGUAAGAGUUCAGAGAGGUAAGCUACUGAAUGAUUCCAAACCUUGGUCAACUUACGGAGGCCUACAAUCAAUGGUUUGUUUGCGCCAGCAGUGCCAAUGAGUAAAACAAGGAGGCCAACAUGAAUAUGUGAUUACUCGACCAAAUAACUACACAUGGUUCUCAAACUAUGUGCCAAAGCAUCCUGGGGCAUCAUGGAAAAUUCACAAGGGUGCCCUAUGGUAUUUAACAUUUUUGAGAGAAUUACUGCAACAUUUGCCAGAAACUGUGCAUAUGACGAUGAUUAAAUUGUUUAGACCUAAUAUGUUUCAGUUAUAUUUUUCUUUUUGUCUAAGAGAAACGUGAAAAAAAUAAUGAAAUGCUAAGGGUGUUGUGCACCAAAAAUAGUUGAUGUAAAAAGUGUCCCCAUAAGAAAUCACAUAUGUACAGUCAUACAAAACCAUGCAAUAGUCUGGGCAAGGUCACUGUUUUAUAUCUAGCUCUCAUUAUUUUUCUCUUAUUUUCUCAUAUCUUAUUCUGACUCAUGAUGUGCUGCCACAGUUUCUCAGAUUUUCCUUCAAGGUGGGACUACAUUGAUCACAUAUGACUCUUCCUGUGAUGGUGGUCACACCAGUUGCCCGCAGUAUUUCCCAUUAAAAUGCCAUCAUCAUGAGGUGUGGUGUAAUUUUGUUAGAUAAUUUAACCCCACUUGGUCAGUUUCAUCCUGUGAUGAUGACUUUAUUUACUCUUGGGAUAUUUUAAAAAGUAAAAAGGACUCUAAGAGUAGGCUUGUUUCCUAUUAAUUUUUUUCUCUAGCUUUUCAUUUUAAAGUCGAAUUCUAGUUCUUUCUCAUCAAAACCUGCCUGUUCUAUUUCUUUUGAAUGUAUUAACUUUUCAAAUUGACACAUAAUACUUGUACAUAUUUAUGGGGUACAUGUGAUAUUUUGAUACAUGCAUACAAUGUGUAAUGAUCAAAUCAGGGUAAUUGGGGAUACUCAUUACCUCAAAAAUUUAUUAUUUCUCUGUGCCUUUUCUUCCUUCUGUAUCAUAGAUCCACUACCCUCCCAUUCUAACUUUUAUCAAUACUUUAUUUUCAAAAUGUUCUGUUUUACAUAUUUUUUUCUAUAGAGUCUGUCUUAUUAUAAAAUAAGUAAUUUUGUAAUAUUUGUCUUUCUUACUGUAUAUACUUUUCCACAUAUAUUAUGUUGCUACUGAAC
rnacentral:lncRNA from 1 species